ACCAUACGUACUGUAAACUAAAAAAUGUGUGAUAUGAGUUGAAUGCUUAAACCAGGUAAACUCGUUAUUUUUGUAUAUAUCAACAAUCUAGGUCUAGGCCUAGGCUUGUCUAUCUAGGUUAAAAUAUUUAUAGUUUCCAUACAAGUACCGACAGUUUUUGGUAGAGCAAAUGCGUUUAUUUGAUAUUUACAAAUGGGUUGUAAAUACUAUGUUGGCCUGGUUUACCUUUCUAUGUCUAUCACACAUUUUAACAGAUUUUCGUCAGUAAUGUAUAUUUAUAAAGAACAAAUGUAUUGUUCAACGGACUGAUAAUGGAUAAAACCAUAUUUAAGUAAACUUUGACUAGUAACGGAACUAAAGAAGAAUAAGAAAAAUAAGUAACAAAAAAAAGCAACAACAUAAAACAAAAAGAGGCAUAAAAUUUUAAAAAACAUAUUUUGCUUUUAUGGGAUUUUGAAUAUUGUAAGUGAGUUUUUUGUUUAUAAUAAGUAUUGAGAUGUAAAGAGACCUUUUGAUUACUAAAAAGUAUAUGCUCACUCUAUUAAUAGGCGAUCUCAUUUUAGCUAAUAUGAAAAAAAAAUAGAAAAAUAAAAAAAAAUAAAAAAAAUAAUAAGACCAGAAAAGCCCAUUAGCUGGCCAAUUGUGGAGGUUUGCCAGCUUAUACAAUGGGCACCAAACUGGACUUUGACUAUGUCUAUGAUUUGACGACGGACACGAAACUUGUACUUUACUUUUAACUUAACCUGUAAUUUUGAUUUUGUAAAACCUGUUAAAACUCUAAAAAAAUGUAUUUUAUCAUUUCCCCCCUUUGUGAUAAUAACGACGUCAUUAUUUCCUUUGUAUUCAGUUCAAUAUUGAUACUGAAAUCCUCAUAAAAAUAUUGUUUUAUUGUUUUUUUUAAUUUGUAUCCCGUUUUAAAAAUGUAUAAAAUGUGUAAAUCUGGAUUUUACUAAUUAUUUCUCGCUAUAAUUUCAUCUAAUUUUUUUUCACCUACAUUUUGAAUGUAAUUACAGAUUUUUCUCAUUUAUUGUGGAAUAUGCAAUCCUACCUUCCUAAUUACUACUAUUUUCCAAGUAAUUAAGAGAAUGUAUAAGAUCAUGAAGAAGUUUUAACACGCAUUAAAAAUUCGUAGGGCCUAUGUUUGUAAUAGCUUACAUCAAAGGUACUACCCUAAUAUAUUUAUUGCAAUCACAAAAACAAAAAAUAUAUAUAUUAUACUAUCUAUGUUAUCUGAAUGUAUUGUGUGUGUACAUAACUCUAUGGUAAUAUUGGAAAGACAGUAUGUAAAUAGUUCUUUCUGUUGAAAAGGAACUAGCUGCAACAAAAUAUUCAUGUGGUUUUGUUUCAUGUUUCAACCUCCUUUUUUGACUUAUGAACCCGAUGAUAUAUUAAUAAAAAAUCUCUGGUAAAUGAA